AUGUCAACAAACAAUCCGCUGGCCCAGACAGGUGGUCCAGGCCGGCAGGGCUGCCCUGAGCCUGCGCUGGGGACAGGACUCACCGUCGCGGCCACUGGGCCAGACACCCCCGAGGGCCACGCUGUAGCCAGACCUCCCUCGGUGGAGCAGCGCUGCGGCCCGUGGCACUCAGUUCCUAGGACAGAAACCCAGGUUUCCCGUGAGUGAAGCGGACUCACCCAUCACCCUCUCCCCUCCGGCUUCUGAGGCCAGCUCACCUUGAGGAUCUUGAUUUCCUUUCCCAGGAGAGUCUGGGACUUGGCGAGGUUCUUCUUGUUAAUGCACUUGACAGCGACCUCCAGGUCGUGUUUCUGAAAACCAAGCGCAGGUGUCCCUCAGGGGCGGGGAACCCGGGAACCCCUUGAAGGCCUUGCCCAAGCCAGGGGAAACGGGUUCAAGCCCUGGUCCGGGAAGAUCCCAUAUGUGUCAGAGCAACUAAGCCCGUGCACCACAACUACUGAGCCUGUGCUCUAGAGCCCGCGAGCCACAACGACUGAAGCCCAAGCGCCUAGAGCCCAUGCUCCGCAACAGGAGAAGCCACCGCAAUGAGAAGCCCGCGCAC